rnacentral:rRNA from 1 species
CGUGUAGGCGGCAUAGUAAGUCAGAUGUGAAAGCCCUCGGCUUAACCGAGGAAGUGCAUUUGAAACUGCUAAGCUAGAGUACGGGAGAGGGUUGUAGAAUUCCCGGUGUAGAGGUGAAAUUCGUAGAUAUCGGGAGGAAUACCGGUGGCGAAGGCGGCAGCCUGGACCGAUACUGACGCUGAGACGCGAAAGCGUGGGGCGCGAACCGGAUUAGAUACCCGAGUAGUCC